CCAGUACUGGAGAGGUGGCCGGCUUCGGAGAGAGCCGUUGUGAAGCCUACCUCAAAGCCAUGCUCAGCACUGGCUUUAAGAUCCCAGAGAAGAACAUCCUGCUGACUAUUGGCAGCUACAAGAACAAAAGUGAGCUGCUCCCAACUGUGCGGUUGCUGGAGAGCCUGGGCUACAGCCUCUAUGCCAGCCUGGGUACGGCAGACUUCUACACUGAGCACGGGGUCAAGCCUUGACCUUUGUUCUGGGCUGGCAGGUAACAGCUGUGGACUGGCACUUUGAAGAGGCGGUGGAUGGUGAGUGCCCACCACAACGGAGCAUCUUGGAUCAGCUGGCUGAAAAUCACUUUGAGCUAGUGAUUAACCUGUCCAUGCGUGGGGCUGGGGGUCGGCGUCUUUCCUCCUUCGUUACCAAGGGCUACCGUACCCGGCGUCUGGCCGCUGAUUUCUCUGUGCCUCUCAUCAUUGACAUCAAGUGCACCAAACUCUUUGUGGAGGUAACACAGCCCCAGGUGCUGGCUGGGGGUAUGGCGUUAGGAAAGGGCCAUGUGUUCACAGUAAAGCUUGGUGGCUCCAGAGGCUGGGAG
rnacentral:lncRNA from 1 species